rnacentral:lncRNA from 1 species
UCAAUUUCUAUUUCCUAGGUCCGUACCUCUACCUCAACUCUAAAUAAUUUCAUGAUAGGGUUAGUAGCUAAUCUUUAAUUUUAUUAAGUUGCAUGGUGGAGUUAUUUCAAAAGUAAUGUUUGGUAGAGAUGAGGUAGAAGUACUAACAUAGAAAUAGAAAUUCAGAAAGUUAACAAAAUAAGAAAAUAAAAAAAGUUAUAUUUAGCUCAAGAAUAGACAACUUAGCUUUUCAAGUAUCGGCUUCUAACUGAUGAUCAGUUCUUCAACUUAACAUGUGCCGAGGCAAAUCUUAUGUUCUUCGAGCUCCAAUCUUCAAGCACAUACCAUUUUUAACAAAUUAGAGUUUAAUAAAUUUUAUAUUUCUAAUUAACAAUCAUCAAACUAUAUUUUGUUCACUGUCCCAAUUUCUAUUUCCUAGGUCCGUACCUCUACCUCAACUCUAAAUAAUUUCAUGAUAGGGUUAGUAGCUAAUCUUUAAUUUUAUUAAGUUGCAUGGUGGAGUACAUCAAAAGUAUGUUUGGUAGAGAUGAGGUAGAAGUACUAACAUAGAAAUAGAAAUUCAGAAAGUUAACAAAAUAAGAAAAUAAAAAAAGUUAUAUUUAGCUCAAGAAUAGACAACUUAGCUUUUCAAGUAUCGGCUUCUAA